rnacentral:tRNA from 2 species
GGAGAAGUACCCAAGUACGGCUGAAGGGAUCGGUCUCGAAAACCGACAGGGGCUUAGUAGCUCGCAAGGGUUCAAAUCCCUUCUUCUCCGUCA